rnacentral:rRNA from 1 species
UACGAAGGGGCUAGCGUUGCUCGGAAUUACUGGGCGUAAAGCGCACGUAGGCGGCUUCUUAAGUCGGUGGUGAAAUCCUGGAGCUCAACUCCAGAACUGCCUUCGAUACUGGGAAGCUCGAGUCCGGGAGAGGUGAGUGGAACUGCGAGUGUAGAGGUGAAAUUCGUAGAUAUUCGCAAGAACACCAGUGGCGAAGGCGCUCACUGGCCCGUUCGUGACGCU